AAAAGCCCUUGUUCCACCUUCUCCCUCGCCGCCAAGCCCUCGCGCCGCACUUCCGGCCCCGCUCCCAAUCCUUGGUGGCCCGGGAUCUCCUGAGGGUCUCCCUAGACAACCUGAGUGAGCUUCCCGCCGCGCACCGGCUCUGGGCCCGCCACCGGCUGCCCCACCCUCAGGAUGUGUUACCUAAGUACGCGGUCACCAUCGCCGUCACAGGCAGCCUCAACCCCACCCCGGCCAGCUCGUGUCCCUCCGGCCUUCCUCCCCCGCACCUGCCCGCACGCUCCGGGGCCCGCAGGUGCGGAAGACCGCGAAAUUUCACGCCCCGCGGAGACCCGCCAGCUCCUGUGACAAGAAGGGGAGGCGCGGUCGGGCGGAGCUCCCGGGCAGAUGUGCCAGGCUGCCUGCACCUAGGCAAGAAGCAUGGAGGUAAUCCACGGCAGGCCCUGCUGCUGCAGGGAGCUUGAAGGGGCCGACCUCCUGUCCAACACCUUUUACUCAAAUCAGGUGCACACGCCGUUCGAAACAGCUACUCGCCCAACUGCUUCAGAAGAUAGGUAUCAGGAGCUGAGGGCAUCCAUGCCACAAUGCAGGCUUCCCUGGGGUGCCGAAAGGGAGUAUGGUGGCAUUAUUCCAGUUGCUCUUCCUGAAGAACACAGGCCAAAAUGCGAGCCUCCCGCGUCAUGGGCAAAGGAC